rnacentral:lncRNA from 1 species
AUGGCCCACUGGCAACUGGCAGCUGUGCCAUCAGCACAGGCACCUCGGGGCGGGAGGCCCUGGGGCAGCAGCCCCCAGCAGCUGAGCUCAUCUCCUGGCUUCAGUGAGUUCUUCCUCCCUGGGUUCACCCCCAACACAUACACAGCGGGCAGGAAGGUCCUCUGCAAAACUCGUGAGAUACCAGACUUUCCCCAUUGUUUGGAAGCAGUCAGCCAUGAGCGAUGGGGUGUCAUGGGAGGGGACGUGGCCUCGCCGGCCCAUUAUUAGAGAGUUGGUCACACCUCCAGGAACGACAGCCCUUCUUGGCCCUUGUGGACGGCUAGACUGGCCCCAAGGGAAAGGAACUUGGCUCAGGGAAAGGCAGAGUUAGGGAGCCUACGCUGAAUGCUGCUAAGUCUUCCCACCGGGGUCCCUCUCCCCCACUGCCCCCAAGCUGGGGACACUCUACAGCACUUUUCUCUCUUCAUAAAUUUGUCCCCCCUCAGAAGCCUCCCAGUGGCUUCCUAACAGAAUGGAUUCCAAACUGCACCCCUGGAUUAAAGUCACUCAAACCUGGUCCCACGUGACCAUCCCAACAUGUCCACCACCACUCGGCACAGACAUCGUCUCGGCUGGCACCCCGCCUCACCCCACAGUCCAAGCCAAUGCUCGGGUGAACCCCACACUCUGGCUGUCACCCCAGUCAUUCCACGUGUGAAUUUUGCUCCCCUGGCCCCCAUGCCUGUCCACGCUACCCCAUUCUCUUAGCCAAGUGUGAAGACCCAACUCUUCCAAGAAAUGGUCCCCAACCACCCCCAGCUGACACUCAUCUGCCUCUGCCCUGAAACGCUCUGGUUCUCAUGGGAAGAACUUCAAGAUCCAAUGUAGGGCCACGCUUGAAAGUGACAGUGUUAGUCACUCAGUCCUGUCCGACUCUUUGUGACCCCACAGACUGCAGCCUGCCAAGCUCCAGUGUCCAUAGAAUUCUCCAGGCGAGAAUACUGAAGUGGGUUGUCAUUCUCUUCUCCAGGGGAUCUGCCCAACGCAGGGAUUGAACCCGGGUCUCCCACAUUGCAAGCGGAUUCGUGACCGUCUGAGCCCCCAGGAAGCCCGGUAGCCCAUGCUUAGUAAUUAUAUGAUUCCCACGAGGCUGUCAGCUUUGUUA